rnacentral:rRNA from 1 species
AUACGUAGGGGGCGAGCGUUAUCCGGAAUUAUUGGGCGUAAAGAGUACGUAGGCGGUUCUGUAAGCGUGAGGUGAAAGCCCGGGGCUUAACUCCGGUAAGCCUUUCGAACUGCAGGACUUGAGGGCUGGAGGGGAAAGUGGAAUUCCUAGUGUAGCGGUGAAAUGCGUAGAUAUUAGGAGGAACACCAGUGGCGAAGGCGACUUUCUGGACAGUAACUGACGCUGAGGUACGAAAGCGUGGGGAGCAAACAGGAUUAGAUACCCUGGUAGUCCACGCUGUAAACGAUGAGCACUAGGUGUCGGGCUAGCAAUAGUUCGGUGCCGCAGUUAACGCAAUAAGUGCUCCGCCUGGGGAGUACGCACGCAAGUGUGAAACUCAAAUGAAUUGGCGGGG